UACGUAGGGGGCAAGCGUUGUCCGGAAUCAUUGGGCGUAAAGAGCGCGUAGGCGGUCCGGUAAGUCCGCUCUGAAAGUCCGGGGCUCAACCCCGGGAGGCGGGCGGAUACUGUCGGGCUAGAGUCCGGAGGAGGCGAGUGGAAUUCCUGGUGUAGCGGUGAAAUGCGCAGAUAUCAGGAGGAACACCAAUGGCGAAGGCAGCUCGCUGGGACGGUACUGACGCUGAGGCGCGAAAGCGUGGGGAGCAAACAGG
rnacentral:rRNA from 1 species